AACUUUUCAUUCAAAAUUUUAGAUAUCUAAUUUUCUCUCUCUCUUUUGAUCAGAAAGCUUGAUUCGAUUUGCGCUUGGUCUCUCUAUGACGAUCUGAAAUCUCAGUUUUGGAUCUUCAAUCCAGAGCUUUGUUCUCUUUUUCUCGAUCUCUGGCACCAUCGCUCUUCGCCUUGAUCACGUCACUUUUUCUUCUUCUUCGUCUUUCGCCGUGAUCAAGUUGAAACACGUCGCCCUCGGCGAGAAUGGAAGGAUUGAAAUUGCAAGGAUCAGAUUAUGAACAAGGCGAGGUCCUACUCGUUCAGCCAGAAGGCCACCAAGGAGAUCUCCUCAGUCGACGAUGACAUCAACAUAAGCUCGCAUCUCUCUCCAUUUUGAUUCAACUUGUUUGAUCUGGUUUCGCAAUCCUGAAUUGUUGUGUUUUGGAUCAGAAAUUUGAAUACUUUAGAUACUUAAUUGAGUCAUUAGGUUAAUUCAUUUAAUUAUUGUUUAAUUGAAUCUUAGGAUGAUUGAUUUCCCUGUUAUAUGUGUUAAGAUGAUUGAAUCUUAGCUGUAACGCAUGAAAAUUGUAUGGUCUUGCUUCCCUUGUUGAUGGGAUUUUUGUUAUAAUUCAUCAACAAAUUUCUUUGUAUUGGCAUGUUCUGCCUCAUAAUCGCCAAGUCAGUUACUUUCUGAGAUUGUGGCUUCAAAACUGUGUAACCAUAGAGGGAAUGGAAAGGUCGUAUUUGAUGCUGCCAGCUAUGUCAUUUAUUUAGCUCAUUUUCAAACCUGACAUGAUGUGUUUAUGGUGGUUCAAGUCUGGUGUGAGAUGUUGAUAUAUUAUUCAACUUCUUUUCUUGAUAAUUAUAUACAAGGGGGUUUAUUAGUACGUUGCAGUAUCUCUUUGCUUUAUAGGCUUGUCAAAAUUAUGGAUUGUUUUACAUCUUUAGCAUAUAUUAGGCGUUGUCAAAACUAGGUACUAGAACAUACAUGCCAGGCCUAAAAGUGUUUUGAAGUGUGGCUCAAUUGAAAAUUAUGUUUUUUGUUAUGAAGGAAGUCUGUCUACAUGAAGCCAUUGUUUUUUAGUGCUUGGAAGAAUUAUAGUUGAUGCUUAUCAUUCUUUGAAUUGGUUUAGUAGAAUUUUCAAACUAAUGGGCAUUGUUGGAUCAAUCAUUUUUAGGAACAUAAUCAGCUAACUUUGAGAUAGCAGCUCUAGGCCGGGUUAACUGAUUGAUUUUGGAAUUUAUGAUGAUAUGAACUUGGGAUUUUACCUUGUUGCAUAUGAUGACAUUGGGGGCAUUUCCUGCCAAAAGGCUUGCAACUCAUCUAGUCACAUUUGUAGUUUCACUCGGGUCAUCAGUAAGCACCCAAUCUUUUGGACUACAGGCCCUACUUUUUCCGAGUCUCCGUUUGUCCCAAAGGAAGAAAGUUUAUAUAAUAGUCGCAUACAUAUUCGACAAAAUGCCGUAGCAGAUCACAUUCACCAGCUCACAAGAAUUGAAGUGGUCUCUUGCAUUCUUUGAAUUUGUCGGUUGCUUAAUACUUUUACACCUAAUAGGCUUUUUAGCCUUCCAUGACGCAGUAAUUUCCUUUGUUGAAGUUAAGACAUUAUAUAAUAGGUUUACUGUAAUCAUAUAGCCUGAAUUUUGUCUCCAACAAUUUAGUUAAUGAGUUUCAGAAACUAUGUCAUUGACCAUGUCA